AAACUCGCCUGUCCUUUGGGUAUGAAACCCAUUUGGGCGAGAGUAGUACUAGGAUGGGUGACCUCCUGGGAAGUCCUCGUGAAAGGGUUUC
rnacentral:rRNA from 1 species